rnacentral:sRNA from 1 species
GCACAUACUAAAACCUGUCUCCAAAGACAC